UACGUAGGGUGCAAGCGUUAAUCGGAAUUACUGGGCGUAAAGCGUGCGCAGGCGGCUUUGCAAGACAGAUGUGAAAUCCCCGGGCUUAACCUGGGAACUGCAUUUGUGACUGCAAGGCUGGAGUGCGGCAGAGGGGGGUGGAAUUCCGCGUGUAGCAGUGAAAUGCGUAGAGAUGCGGAGGAACACCGAUGGCGAAGGCAGCCCCCUGGGCCAACACUGACGCUCAGGCACGAAAGCGUGGGGAGCAAACAGG
rnacentral:rRNA from 1 species